rnacentral:rRNA from 1 species
UACGUAGGGGGCAAGCGUUAUCCGGAUUUACUGGGUGUAAAGGGGGCGCAGACGGCGAUGCAAGCCAGGAGUGAAAGCCCGGGGCCCAACCCCGGGACUGCUCUUGGAACUGCGUGGCUGGAGUGCAGGAGGAGCAGGCGGAAUUCCUGGUGUAGCGGUGAAAUGCGUAGAUAUCAGGAGGAACACCGGUGGCGAAGGCGGCCUGCUGGACUGCAACUGACGUUGAGGCCCGAAAGCGUGGGGAGCAAACAGG